AUCUUUCGCCCUCACACGAAAUACCCAAUCAUCCACGAAACUUGCCAAACAAAGUAGCCUUUCAGUCUGUUCAGACUUGGUUUUACAAAACCCAGUCCAGCCCUGUUGUCGCCAAAGAGCGAAUGAACCAGAUGGAUUAUAUUCAGACGGCUCCAGUAAAUGGGUCCUCUGGAGAACGGCUGCAUACUUUCAUUUGAUGCUUUGUCGUGUGACUAAUCAACCAUCUCGUGAAAACUUUGAAUAUAAAACCACCAAAUCCAUCCGGCUGUGAAGAGAUGAUGUGAACUGCGGACGAGAGCGAGAGCGGUUGACGGACCAGAGAACACGAGGUGAACAAAAAGCGGGUUUUGUCUUUAAUCAGCACGUUCAGAGAAAUACAAAUAAACACGAUCACAUACACUGAUGAACAAACAAAGACACGUCACUAACACACUUCAGAUGUCAUAAUCACUAUCGGCUAUUAUAAUGUAUGAUCAGUCGAUGUUUAUGUAAUGAUUAGAUUGAGCUAGAUUUCGAAAACAGGGUGUU